GCUUUCACUCUGCAGCACACAUACUAAAAUCAGAACAAUACAGAGAUUAGCAUAACCAUUUCACUAGAAUGAUGUGAAAAUUGGUGAAGCAUAAGGUAUUUGG
rnacentral:snRNA from 1 species